rnacentral:rRNA from 1 species
GACGAACGCUGGCGGCGUGCUUAACACAUGCAAGCCGAACGAUGAAGCUAGAGCUUGCUCUGGUGAAUUAGUGGCGAACGGGUGAGUAACACGUGAGUAACCUGCCCCGAACUCUGGGAUAACUGCUGGAAACGGUAGCUAAUAAUGGAUAAGACCUACGAAGGCAUCUUCUGUAGGUGGAAAGAAUUUCGGUUCGGGAUGGACUCGCGGCCUAUCAGCUUGUUGGUGGGGUAAUGGCUCACCAAGGCGACGACGGGUAGCCGGCCUGAGAGGGUGACCGGCCACACUGGGACUGAGACACGGCCCAGACUCCUACGGGAGGCAGCAGUGGGGAAUAUUGCACAAUGGGCGCAAGCCUGAUGCAGCAACGCCGCGUGAGGGAUGACGGCCUUCGGGUUGUAAACCUCUUUUAGUAGGGAAGAAGCGAAAGUGACGGUACCUGCAGAAAAAGCACCGGCUAACUACGUGCCAGCCGCCGCAGUAA